rnacentral:rRNA from 1 species
UAGGUUAAUGAGGCGAACCGGGGGAACUGAAACAUCUAAGUACCCCGAGGAAAAGAAAUCAACCGAGAUUCCCCCAGUAGCGGCGAGCGAACGGGGAGCAGCCCAGAGCCUGAAUCAGUGUGUGUGUUAGUGGAAGCGUCUGGAAAGGCGCGCGAUACAGGGUGACAGCCCCGUACACAAAAAUGCACAUGCUGUGAGCUCGAUGAGUAGGGCGGGACACGUGGUAUCCUGUCUGAAUAUGGGGGGACCAUCCUCCAAGGCUAAAUACUCCUGACUGACCGAUAGUGAACCAGUACCGUGAGGGAAAGGCGAAAAGAACCCCGGCGAGGGGAGUGAAAAAGAACCUGAAACCGUGUACGUACAAGCAGUGGGAGCACGCUUCGGCGUGUGACUGCGUACCUUUUGUAUAAUGGGUCAGCGACUUAUAUUCUGUAGCAAGGUUAACCGAAUAGGGGAGCCGAAGGGAAACCGAGUCUUAACUGGGCGUUAAGUUGCAGGGUAUAGACCCGAAACCCGGUGAUCUAGCCAUGGGCAGGUUGAAGGUUGGGUAACACUAACUGGAGGACCGAACCGACUAAUGUUGAAAAAUUAGCGGAUGACUUGUGGCUGGGGGUGAAAGGCCAAUCAAACCGGGAGAUAGCUGGUUCUCCCCGAAAGCUAUUUAGGUAGCGCCUCGUGAAUUCAUCUCCGGGGGUAGAGCACUGUUUCGGCAAGGGGGUCAUCCCGACUUACCAACCCGAUGCAAACUGCGAAUACCGGAGAAUGUUAUCACGGGAGACACACGGCGGGUGCUAACGUCCGUCGUGAAGAGGGAAACAACCCAGACCGCCAGCUAAGGUCCCAAAGUCAUGGUUAAGUGGGAAACGAUGUGGGAAGGCCCAGACAGCCAGGAUGUUGGCUUAGAAGCAGCCAUCAUUUAAAGAAAGCGUAAUAGCUCACUGGUCGAGUCGGCCUGCGCGGAAGAUGUAACGGGGCUAAACCAUGCAC